CUUUACUGAGGGAGUAAGGGGGACAUUUCUCGAUCCCUGGUGGUCCAUGGGGAUUCCCUGGUGGUCCCAGUGGUCAGGUGAACUCUAGCCCGUAGCUCCAGGGCUAGAGUUCACUCUCGCGAGAUUUGUAGCAUUGCCGUGGUAACCGCGCAACGCUCCAUACUCGCGAGAGAAGGACCUGGAGGAGCCGCAGGCUAAGCUCCUGGGUCCUCUCUGCCUCCCUCCCUGCCGGCUGCCACCAAGGUGCCUGCGGACCGGGGAGGGAGAUCUCUGAUCUCCCCUCUGGUCCGUGAAGGCACAUUGCAGGGCUGCCACUUGGACAAUGCCAGACCUGCAUUAGCCGGCAGGGGAGAGGGAGACCCUUGGUUUUCUCGGAUCCUCCACUGCUCCUGAACCAUUCAUGGUGUUGAUAUAACAUUGGUCAGUAUUUAUUUACCACCUGAAGAUCCCUUUGCAACAUUGGACAGAGCGCUGUUCAGGCUUCCCCUAGACAGGACAGGCAAACUCAUAGUAUGUGACAAAUUAUAUUUUUUAAGUGGUCUAUCCUUGGAUGCCUCAGAUUUCUAUAACUUGGCCGCUAGGAAGGCAGCAAAAAAAGCUAAGCUGCAGGUUUGGAGCCCUGAUACAUGGACAUGGUCUGUAUAGCGCGUGUUAAAGUAAAAUAAAGUAAAUUUAAGGAUUGUUAUUUUGUUACCUGAAAAUCACAUGUGG